UACAGAGGGUGCGAGCGUUGUCCGGAAUCACUGGGCGUAAAGGGCGCGUAGGCGGUGACUUAAGCGUGUGGUGAAAGCUCGGGGCUCAACCCCGAGUCGGCCGUGCGAACUGGGUCACUGGAGCAUGUCAGAGGCAGGCGGAAUUCCGGGUGUAGCGGUGGAAUGCGUAGAGAUCGGGAAGAACACCGGUGGCGAAGGCGGCCUGCUGGGACAUUACUGACGCUGAGGCGCGACAGCGUGGGGAGCAAACAGG
rnacentral:rRNA from 1 species